CUCAACUGGCUCAGGAUUCGAACACUGAAAAACGUGCUCCACAAGUACAAUCCGAGGGAAAAGGAGCCGGAGAUCAUAAACCGCAAAAAUUCCCGAAAUACAAGGACCUGGAAGUGACGCCUGGUUAUCAGGAGAAAAAAUAA
rnacentral:misc_RNA from 1 species